GGUUAAGCGACUAAGCGUACACGGUGGAUGCCCUGGCAGUCAGAGGCGAUGAAGGACGUGCUAAUCUGCGAUAAGCGUCGGUAAGGUGAUAUGAACCGUUAUAACCGGCGAUUUCCGAAUGGGGAAACCCAGUGUGAUUCGUCACACUAUCAUUAACUGAAUCCAUAGGUUAAUGAGGCGAACCGGGGGAACUGAAACAUCUAAGUACCCCGAGGAAAAGAAAUCAACCGAGAUUCCCCCAGUAGCGGCGAGCGAACGGGGAGCAGCCCAGAGCCUGAAUCAGUGUGUGUGUUAGUGGAAGCGUCUGGAAAGGCGCGCGAUACAGGGUGACAGCCCCGUACACAAAAAUGCACAUGCUGUGAGCUCGAUGAGUAGGGCGGGACACGUGGUAUCCUGUCUGAAUAUGGGGGGACCAUCCUCCAAGGCUAAAUACUCCUGACUGACCGAUAGUGAACCAGUACCGUGAGGGAAAGGCGAAAAG
rnacentral:ncRNA from 1 species